UUGGGUUCACCCGAAGGCGUUGCGCUAACUCGCAAGAGAGGCAGGCGACCACGGGGGGCUUAGCGACUGGGGUGAAGUCGUAACAAGGUAGCCGUAGGUGAACCUGCAGAAGGAUCA
rnacentral:rRNA from 1 species